UACGGAGGGUGCAAGCGUUAUCCGGAUUUACUGGGUUUAAAGGGUGUGUAGGCGGACUUUUAAGUCCGUGGUGAAAUCUCCGGGCUCAACCCGGAAACUGCCAUGGAUACUAUUUGUCUUGAAUAUUGUUGAGGUGGGCGGAACGGGUCAUGUAGCGGUGAAAUGCAUAGAUAUGACCCGGAACACCGAUUGCGAAGGCAGCCCACUAAGCAAUGAUUGACGCUGAGGCACGAAAGCGUGGGAUCAAACAGG
rnacentral:rRNA from 1 species